rnacentral:lncRNA from 10 species
UCAUUUAAAUUUCCUGGUUCCAUGCACAUGUUAAUAGUGACUCAGAAACACCCUCUGAUACUCAGUGUGUCAGUCACACCGGGAUUCAUUCACUGAGUUCCGGGAGCAAGGCAGCUUUUCAAGGCUGGGCACUAAACAGGGGGAGCUUUGUGAGUGCCUAGACUCCUCUGCCGGCCACCUGCUCUUCCUCUCCUUGGCUUCCACUAUCUCCCCUAUUUUUGAGAUAACGAAACGGAGGCAUGGAGAAACUAAGAAACUUGGCCAAGAACACUAGCCCAAAGAGGAGCAAGAUUUGAACCAAAGCACCCUGCAUCUAGAGGGAGUGAGCAUAAUUUACAUUGGUCUGCCACCAG